rnacentral:rRNA from 1 species
UACGUAGGGCGCAAGCGUUGUCCGGAAUUAUUGGGCGUAAAGAGCUCGUAGGCGGUUUGUCGCGUCUGCUGUGAAAACUCGAGGCUCAACCUCGGGCUUGCAGUGGGUACGGGCAGACUAGAGUGAUGUAGGGGAGACUGGAAUUCCUGGUGUAGCGGUGAAAUGCGCAGAUAUCAGGAGGAACACCGAUGGCGAAGGCAGGUCUCUGGGCAUUAACUGACGCUGAGGAGCGAAAGCAUGGGGAGCGAACAGG